AAGGGGAUGUAGCUCAGA
rnacentral:siRNA from 1 species